AUUCUUAUAAAGGAGGCAGGACAGCUGGCGUGAGAGCGUGCUGUGAUGACAAUGGAGAGAGACAGUCGAAGGUGCCACACUGCUGGCUUUGAGGACGGAGGGAGUGGCCACAAGCCAGGGUAUGUAGACCCUAGGAGUUGGAAAAGGUUCCCACCAUCAGUCCCUGUCGUGGGACUCGUGGAUGAAAGCACAACUGAACUACUUCCAGACAGAAGGGGAGGAAGAUAAGGAGGUCUUGGUUCAUGCUGUCACCGUCUCACAGACAACUGCCCUGCCAUGCUACUGAUCAUGCCAGCCCGGUUUCCCAUCCCACCCUGGCGCUCCCAACGGCUCCUGCUGUGCUGCUUCCUUUCUUUGUCUUUGCAAAAAAAUACCCUCUCACAUGACUAGAAUUGACUAAUGCCUGCUUAUUGUCAUGCUCUCCUUCACCCACCCUCCUAGUAAAAAUGCAAGCUCCAUAAA